GACGAACGCUGGCGGCGUGCUUAACACAUGCAAGUCGAACGGAAAGGCCUCUUUCGGGGGGUACUCGAGUGGCGAACGGGUGAGUAACACGUGAGUAACCUGCCCUUGACUUUGGGAUAACUUCAGGAGACUGGGGCUAAUACCGGAUAGGAGCUCCUGCUGCGUGGUGGGGGUUGGAAAGUUUCGGCGGGUGGGGAUGGACUCGCGGCUUAUCAGCUUGUUGGUGGGGUAGUGGCUUACCAAGGGUUUGACGGGUAGCCGGCCUGAGAGGGUGACCGGCCAAAAUGGGAAUGGGAUACGGCCCAGACUCCUACGGGGGGCAGCAGUGGGGAAUAUUGCAAAAAGGGUGGAAGCCUGAUGCAGCAACGCCGUGUGCGGGAUGACGGCCUUCGGGUUGUAAACCGCUUUCGCUCAUGACGAAGCUUUGUGUGACGGUAGUGGGUAAAGAAGCACCGGCUAACUACGUG
rnacentral:rRNA from 1 species